AUUAUCAAAGGCCAAAAAUUUCUCAAAAGACCAAAUUCUGGUUACAAUUGAAUCCAACACAAGCUGGCAGCCCGGACUUCAUCCUCCUUGAUGAUGUAAGCUUCCUCUUCUGCUAUACCUUUUCUAUUGUUAAUUUCUUUAAUUCAUAUGCGAUUUACUCUCUUUGAAGCUAUGCCUUUUUUAUUCUGGUUUUCUCAAAUCUGUCAUUCUUCGAUUGCAAUUUCUUUCAAUUCGGUAGUUAGGCUUUCUUCUUUAUAUUCAUUACAUCUGUUGAAAUAAUAGAGUUUGAAUUUUCGUAGUUUCUGCAAGUUUGCUUUGAUUUCCCAGGGCCUUUUGAAAUUCAGAUAAACAACAUGAGGUGAAGGCGUUCGGUGCAGAAACAUCUUUUAAUUGGAUGCGAACAGUCAAAAGCUUUGUCUCACACUUUCAAUAUCCUAUUGGGUCAGAUUCUCUCUGUUCUUUAGAAGUUAGGACUAUUCAUCGGAUUACUAGUUUACCUUCGAGGAACAGGAAGGGUUGUUGUUCUGUUGGAUUUGCAAGAGGAUUUUCUGCUCUGUUUUGUGCAAGGAAGAGCUGUUCUUCUCUCAUUCCAAGGGUGCUUAUAUAUUCAUGUAACAUUUUAAUUAUAUUAAUUCUUGGGUACCAACUUGAUUUUGAUAGCCAAUAUAUUUAAUUUUGAUCAGUUGAACUUUUAUUGCUUCCCAUUAUGUAAGUUGUUUAUGUUUUUUGUACUAAGAGGUAAGGCCUUAUGUCCCCCUCUUUAUUGUAUUUGUUUUUUUUAUGCUAAUAAAUCAUAUUUCUUGUUAA